AUUGAACGCUGGCGGCAUGCUUUACACAUGCAAGUCGAACGGUAACAGGUUAAGCUGACGAGUGGCGAACGGGUGAGUAACGCAUCGGAACGUGCCCGGUCGUGGGGGAUAACGCUGCGAAAGCUGCGCUAAUACCGCAUACGAUCUGAGGAUGAAAGCGGGGACCGUAAGGCCUCGCGCGAUCGGAGCGGCCGAUGUCAGAUUAGGUAGUUGGUGGGGUAAAGGCUCACCAAGCCAACGAUCUGUAGCUGGUCUGAGAGGACGACCAGCCACACUGGGACUGAGACACGGCCCAGACUCCUACGGGAGGCAGCAGUGGGGAAUUUUGGACAAUGGGCGAAAGCCUGAUCCAGCAAUGCCGCGUGCAGGAAGAAGGCCUUCGGGUUGUAAACUGCUUUUGUACGGAGCGAAAAGGUCUCCUCUAAUACAGGGGGCUCAUGACGGUACCGUAAGAAUAAGCACCGGCUAACUACGUGCCAGCCGCCGCGGUAA
rnacentral:rRNA from 1 species